GGAUGAGAACGACUUCUUCUUUGGGCUCGGUACCUAUUAUGCUACAACAACAACAACAGCACCUCCUGUUGUGUGCUUAAGGAUGAUUAUCGGCUUUUAUGUGGAAACCCUAGAAAUGCACUGUGGUCGACAUACGAGGUGUGGAGGAAGAGCUCAUUUGAUUUUGGAUCAAGACUACGAGCAUUAGCAGUUAAAGAUUAGAGCAGUGGAAUGUCUUUUGGUGGUAGAUCAUUGGAGCCAUAGAUUGAAGACUACUUUUGGAGUUACGUUAGUUGAUGGACUGUUUUAUUAUGUUUUCUUGGGAUAGUGAGUUUAGUAUUCGUGAAACUAUUUGAGAUUGUAUUUGGAGACUUUAUUGUUAAA